AUAAGCGGAGGAAAAGAAACUAACAAGGAUUCCCCUAGUAACUGCGAGUGAAGCGGGAAAAGCUCAAAUUUAAAAUCUGUCAGUCUAUGGCUGUCCGAGUUGUAAUCUAGAGAAGUGUUAUCCGCGCUGGACCGUGUACAAGUCUCCUGGAAUGGAGCGUCAUAGAGGGUGAGAAUCCCGUCUUUGACACGGACUACCAGGGCUUUGUGAUGCGCUCUCAAAGAGUCGAGUUGUUUGGGAAUGCAGCUCAAAAUGGGUGGUAAAUUCCAUCUAAAGCUAAAUAUUGGCGAGAGACCGAUAGCGAACAAGUACCGUGAGGGAAAGAUGAAAAGAACUUUGGAAAGAGAGUUAAACAGUACGUGAAAUUGCUGAAAGGGAAACGCUUGAAGUCAGUCGCGUUGUCCAGGGAUCAACCUUGCUUUUGCUUGGUGUACUUUCUGGGGGACGGGUCAGCAUCACUUUUGACUGUUGGAAAAAAGUCAAGGGAAUGUGGCAUCUUUGGAUGUGUUAUAGCCCUUGGUUGCAUACAAUGGUUGGGAGUGAGGAACUCAGCACACCGCAAGGCCGGGUAUUACUUUACCACGUAUGUGCUUAGGAUGCUGGCAUAAUGGCUUUAAUCGACCCGUCUUGAAACACGGACCAAGGAGUCUAACAUACCUGCGAGUGUUUGGGUGGAAAACCCGAGCGCGUAAUGAAAGUGAAAGUUGAGAUCCUUGUCGCGGGGAGCAUCGACGCCCGGACCAGACCUUUUGUGACGGUUCUGCGGUAGAGCAUGUAUGUUGGGACCCGAAAGAUGGUGAACUAUGCCUGAAUAGGGUGAAGCCAGAGGAAACUCUGGUGGAGGCUCGUAGCGAUUCUGACGUGCAAAUCGAUCGUCAAAUUUGGGUAUAGGGGCGAAAGACUAAUCGAACCAUCUAGUAGCUGGGUCCU
rnacentral:rRNA from 1 species